rnacentral:rRNA from 1 species
AUUGAACGCUGGCGGCAUGCUUUACACAUGCAAGUCGAACGGUAACAGCACUUCGGUGGCUGACGAGUGGCGAACGGGUGAGUAAUACAUCGGAACGUGCCUAGUAGUGGGGGAUAACUACUCGAAAGAGUAGCUAAUACCGCAUGAGAUCUAAGGAUGAAAGCAGGGGACCUUCGGGCCUUGCGCUACUAGAGCGGCUGAUGGCAGAUUAGGUAGUUGGUGGGAUAAAAGCUUACCAAGCCGACGAUCUGUAGCUGGUCUGAGAGGACGACCAGCCAAACUGGGACUGAGACACGGCCCAGACUCCUACGGGAGGCAGCAGUGGGGAAUUUUGGACAAUGGGCGCAAGCCUGAUCCAGCAAUGCCGCGUGCAGGAUGAAGGCCUUCGGGUUGUAAACUGCUUUUGUACGGAACGAAAAGCCCUCUUCUAAUACAGGAGGGUCAUGACGGUACCGUAAGAAUAAGCACCGGCUAACUACGUG